rnacentral:lncRNA from 1 species
ACAAAUACAAAUGAUAUUAAUGUAUAAUGAAAUUCUAUUUAAAUCAAUUUAUUAAAAAAAUUACAAAUAUAAAAUUACAAAUACACUACACUUAGUGUUGGAUCUCAUAGAAAAGAGAUUCUCCAAAUCUAAAAGGGGCAAAACGCUACGUACGUAUAAAUCCAAUUGCACACUAAUUAAUCACAAGAACCCACAUGAUGAACAAAAUCAAAGAAAGGCAAUAACUACCAUUUAAACAAAAAUAAAGAAAAAAAUGUAGAAAUUGCGAGAAAAAGAACGUGAACUUGAGGGAAGGAAAUUUUAGGGAAAAGAGAAAAAAAACAAAAAUGAAAUAACUACUUGAUAAUUACUAAUAUUAAAAUCAAUAAAAUAGGAUAAAAUAAAUAUCCUGAUAACCAC